rnacentral:rRNA from 1 species
GUGUCAGCCGCCGCGGUAAUACGGAGGGUGCGAGCGUUGUUCGGAUUUAUUGGGCGUAAAGCGCGUGUAGGCGGUUUUAUAAGUCUGAUGUGAAAGCCCCGGGCUCAACCUGGGAAGUGCAUUGGAUACUGUAAGACUUGAAUACGGGAGAGGGCAGUGGAAUUCCUAGUGUAGGAGUGAAAUCCGUAGAUAUUAGGAGGAACACCGGUGGCGAAGGCGGCUGCCUGGACCGAUAUUGACGCUGAGACGCGAAAGCGUGGGUAGCAAACAGGAUUAGAAACCCCGGUAGUCC